rnacentral:rRNA from 1 species
AUUGAACGCUGGCGGCAGGCCUCACACAUGCAAGUCGAGCGAUCGGCGGACGGGUGAGUAAUGUAUGGGGAUAUGCCCGAUCGAGGGGGAUAACUACUGGAAAAGGUGUCUAAUACCGCAUACUAUCGGUUGAACCCAUAUGGGAUUAGCUAGUAGUUGGGGUAAAGGCUCACCUAGGCGACGAACUCUAGCUGGUCUGAUAGGAUGAUCAGCCACACUAGGACUGAGACACGGCCCAUACUCCUACGGGAGGCAGCAGUGAGGAAUAUUGCGCAAUGGGCACAAGCCUGAUGCAGCCAUGCCGCGUGUAUGAAGAAGGCCUUAGGUUUGUAAAGUACUUUCAGCGGGGAGGCGUUAACCGCAGAAGAAGCACCGGCUAAAUCCGUGACAGCAGCCGCGGUAAUUC